rnacentral:piRNA from 1 species
CUUCGCAUCUACUAAUUAUUU